CCAAUAUAUGUAUAUUUGAUUUGUUAAUUGCUCUUCACUCAUUUACUUCACAUGGCUAAAUCAUCUCAAAAUUGAAGUACAUACUGCAUUUAUCACUCUCCUUUUCAUUGUACAUUGUUUUCAUAUUUCAACAUUCAAGACAGUUAUAUCAUGCCACUCUAGCUAUACCUCUUAAGUAUAUCACUUCCAUUGCAUUCAUAUGCUUUCUAUGUCUUUCAUCCCAUAUUCAAGUCUCAUUUUAAUACAUCAAUGUUGGGAUCUGCACACACUGAUAUAUGGCCAUCCUAGUAUUAUUUGGCAGGUUCUCAUUCCUUGCACACUUUCCAAGUGCACCCACAACUUUUAAUCCAGCAUUUGCUCUUCUAAUUCACCAUAAAUGUGACCCUAAUCUCUCAAACAUAUUUCCUAAGUAUACAAACUCAUUUGCUUAUUUCAGAUUCACCCCAUUCAGUUUAACCUUGCAUCUUGUAUAUUCUUCACUUAUCUCAAACAGAAGUACUUUUGUCUUCUCUGCAUUUAUUCUCAU
rnacentral:lncRNA from 1 species